rnacentral:rRNA from 1 species
AUACGGAGGGUGCAAGCGUUAUCCGGAAUCAUUGGGUUUAAAGGGUCCGUAGGCGGACUAUUAAGUCAGAGGUGAAAUCCCAUAGCUCAACUGUGGAACUGCCUUUGAUACUGGUAGUCUUGAGUUAUAUGGAAGUAGAUAGAAUGUGUAGUGUAGCGGUGAAAUGCAUAGAUAUUACACAGAAUACCGAUUGCGAAGGCAGUCUACUACGUAUAUACUGACGCUAAGGGACGAAAGCGUGGGGAGCGAACAGGAUUAGAUACCCCUGUAGUCC